rnacentral:rRNA from 1 species
GACAGAGGAUGCAAGCGUUAUCCGGAAUGAUUGGGCGUAAAGCGUCUGUAGGUGGCUUUUCAAGUCCGCCGUCAAAUCCCAGGGCUCAACCUCGAGCUGUCGGUGGAAACUGUCUGGCUAGAGUCCGGAAGAGGAGAGUGGAAUUCCUGGUGUAGCGGUGAAAUGCGCAGAUAUCAGGAAGAACACCUAUGGCGAAGGCAGCUCUCUGGGACGGUACUGACGCUGAGACGCGAAAGCGUGGGGAGCGAACAGG